rnacentral:lncRNA from 10 species
AGUCUGCAGCCGCGACGUCUGAUGUUAGGGACUAGAACUGAGAUCUCUGCUGUGAGUAUCCGGAUACAAUUUAUUCAUUUUCUUUCGCUUAUGUAGGAAGUAAAUAGGAAUAGCUUAGGUAAGCUACAAAAGUUGAUUCAAAUAAAAUCCUAGUCUUUUAUUUCAGUAAAGGUUCAUACCCAUUCUAUUAGGAAAAAAUUGUCAAUAUUUCUUACUAAACAAAAUUGUGAGGGUAAAUGACUUUCUUAUGAGAUAUAAGCUGGCUUUAAUACGUGUGCUGUGUUUUUGCUAGACUUCUGUUGUUUUAAGUUUGGUAUAAGGAUAUUAUUCUGUCUUUGGUAGUUUUUAAUUAUAAGGGUUAGUGAAAAUGAAGAUCAUUUUGUAUGAUUUUGCUCUCUGAAAAAUAAUGUUUCAGUGAAUCAAAGGUCACAAAUAUAUUCAGGUGGCUGAGGUGCAGGUAAACUAAGCCUGUGACCUUCCUUUUUGUUACUCUGAGUGUAAAGUAAAUGUUAUGUUGGUGAGAGGUUGUGUUAAGCGUCAACCUCAAUUAUGAAUAACGGCCUUUAGUCUAUAGCUCAUACUCAAUGGCAAGUGCAUCUUUGUGGAGGCAAUUAUCUAAGGAUGAAACAUAGUCAGCAUGGGUCGAGUCAAAAUAUUUCUGCAAAUUAACCAUUGUCUUUUCAGCUGACCAUGAGGUAAUGAGAUGAAAGAAGAUUGUCAGUAGUUGAGUGAGAGGAAUAAAUAUAUGGGAGACAUAAAGAAUCCUAGUUGUGUAAUAGAUGUGAAUUAUACAAAACCUGGAUGUUCUCAUUUUUGAUCCCUGAUAGAAGAGUUAGCUUCCUGAGAGAUUUUUGUCCUACUACGUAUUACUUCAAAAAUAUAAGAGUUGGGGAAAAGGGUUUCUGAUUUGUCUUCCCUUAGUGAAAGGAACACUAAAAAGUUUCAGACAAAAUUAUCUGAAAGAGUCUAGCUCCUCAAGUCUUUUGAGUUUCCUCUACCCUAGGUAACUAAUCAAGUCUGGGUUGUACUUGAUGAUUAAACAAGAAUUUGGUCACUGGGGUGGUGCAUGGGGUGUGUGUGUGUGGUGUGUGUAUUUCACACACUCACAUAUGUCUAAUUACAACUUUAAGAAGUCAUGUCAGAGAGUA